rnacentral:rRNA from 1 species
AUGGCUCGCGCGGGGCAAGGAGGCGGGAUGGGGAGCGCGGUGAACGUGGGGAUCGCGGUGCAGGCGGACUGGGAGAACCGCGAGUUCAUCUCCAACAUCUCCCUCAACGUCCGCCGCCUCUUCGACUUCCUCCUCCGAUUCGAGGCCACGACGAAGAGCAAGCUGGCGUCGUUGAACGAGAAACUAGACAGCCUGGAGCGGAAGCUGGAGGUGCUGGAGGUCCAAGUGAGCAGCGCCACCACCAACCCCUCCGUUUUUAACAACUAG